AAUGAACGCUGGCGGCGUGCCUAACACAUGCAAGUCGAGCGAGAAAGUCCCCUUCGGGGGGCGAGUAAAGCGGCGCACGGGUGAGUAACGCGUGGGUAACCUGCCCUUGAGUGGGGGAUAACCAGCCGAAAGGCUGACUAAUCCCGCAUACGACCGGCAGACACAAGUCUGUCGGGGAAAGAUGGCCUCUGCUUGCAAGCUAUCGCUCUUGGAUGGGCCCGCGUUGGAUUAGCUAGUUGGUGGGGUAACGGCCUACCAAGGCUGCGAUCCAUAGCUGGUUUGAGAGGACGACCAGCCACACUGGAACUGAGACACGGUCCAGACUCCUACGGGAGGCAGCAGUGAGGAAUAUUGCGCAAUGGGGAAACCCUGACGCAGCGACGCCGUGUGAGCGAUGAAGGCCUUCGGGUCGUAAAGCUCUGUCAGAGGGAAAGAAAAGGGGUCGGACGGAAUAAAUACCCCGACCGACCAUUGAACGGGUACCCUCGGAGGAAGCACCGGCCUAACUCCGAGCGACCG
rnacentral:rRNA from 1 species